AGGCGCCGGCUCGGGCGGCGCGGACUGGGAGCGGCGGGGCGCGGACGGCGUGGACCAACAGCAGCGAGCAGGAGUUUCCUUCCUGCGAGCAGAAAGUAAUCGGCAUACACACUGUAGCCUAAGAAUUCUGGGUGCCACCUCUCUGUGUCUAAGACAAGCACAGCUUUUCUUCACAUGGGUCACCAACCCCUCAACAACCAGAGCAUCCUGGGCCAGAAGCCUGCAAGCUUCCUCACGAACGGGGUGAGCUGCAUAAACACAGGGCCGUGAGUGAGCCUCAUGCUGGGUGAGGAACGGGACCUGCCCUUUGCAAGGAGCUUUCUGGACGUCAUCAGGAGCUCGGGCUACCUUCCACCAGGAGGAAGCCAGGCCACCGACAGACACGGCCCCCGGGGCGCAUGGCCGCACCUUGGAGAUCCCUGAUAUGAUGAUGGUGCUCUUCUUCCGCGGAGACUUGACCUUCAGCUUUGAGGACUCGCUGAGCUGGCGGAUGGCGACUUCUGCCACGGGAUCCGAGCCGUUCAGCACCAGCAGCUCUGCGGGAGGGAAGGCGGCACUGAGCACAUCACACACCGUCCUGGGGACCUCCAGGGCUGAUGGAGAUGAUCCCCAGGCAGGGGCCGGCAAAUCGCUUCCGGAAAGGGCCAGACAGUAAACGGGUUAAGCUUCGUGGGCCGGCCUGGGCCACGAGCUCUCACGGAGGCCUCAGUCCCGUGCAGGCAGCCUGAGCCUGAACGGAAGUGAUCGGACAAGGCCGGGCUCCGAUGGAAUUCAUGAACAGAAACAGGGCCAGGUUUGGCUCACAGACCCUCUUGGUCUAUCGCUGCUUCUGGAUGGUUCCACACACUCACUGCUGUGUACUUACUCAGAUUUCUGCACUUUCUCAUAUGCUAGUCAUACCUCCAUAGAGUUGAUGAAAAACAAUGAAAGCAGGAAGACCAACAAACAAAAAACCUCUGACCCCUUAGACAACUUUGAACUUUGGAAGGCAAUGCCCUUUCCUUCCCGAGAGUGGUUCAACACAGUGAGUUCGUACAGGCAGCUCCUCCCUGUGGUCAGCACCCCACAUGUGGCCAACAUCUGUGGGAUGCUUACCACCUAGCAGGUGCUUGCCGAGGGCUGGGAGAGCACACUGUUUUGUGUCGCCAUCCCACACCCUAUGACGCAGGGGCCUUUUUUAUGCCCAUCUGAGACGUGGGGGGAUGUCAGGCAGCCAGGGGGAUGGCCCGGCCGAGGUCGCUGACGCCGAGCUGGUGCCUAUCCCUUCACUGAGGCAGCCCCUGCUCAGGCAGAGUCGAACAACAACGCGAUCAGAAGGGCAGGCGUUAACAGGAGCGUCCCCCGCCUCGGUUUCCGACUGCAGACGACAGAUGCUCCGUUUCCCGGGGGACUGGCGAGGGGCCGACGCGGCCACACGCUGCCUGGCUGCCACCCACAGUGAGAAACGAGAGGCUCACGAGGAGGGGGCUGGCGAGGACUCCCCAGGGGAGCACCUGGCGGCUCUGAGCUGUCCUUCAAAGCCCUGUCCAGGUGCCAGGGGUGCCCAAGAAGGCUACGAUGGCCCCGGGGGCGCCUGGCGGCUGGCUCUGCUGCCCAUGGAGCGGGAGAGAAACCUACAGUGGGAACGUCAGGCUGUUAAAAAGGGAUCCUGCGCAGGGGAAGGAGUCCCUGCAGUACGAGGCAGCGGGGCGCUCGGCGAGGGGCAGGAAAAGGGGCAUCGGGAGCGGCCAGCCACAGGAGGGCCACGGCUGCGUCUAGGAGGCUGCAGCUGGGGGGCGCUGCGGUUUCCAGAGAGCCGUGACCACUCCCGCAGGGAGAGGCACUGUCAGCUUUGCCAGGCUGAGGGAUGACCCGAAGCCGUCCGAAGACAGCACCCGUCAGAUGAGAGCUUCCUGCCCCCCGUCCUCUCCUCCUUGUCCCAUCCUUGACCUUGGCAAGACCAGAAACAGGACUGGGAGGAUGGGGAGAGGUGAGCCGGAGAGAAGGAGCCCGCCUGCCCUUUGUCUGACAGCAGGUCACACCCGAGCAAAGGGAGCAAACGUAAUCCCCAAGUUUAGAUUGUGCUUUGACUUAGGGAGGCCGUAACUCCUCUCUCCAAAGACAUUUAUUCCCUAAACGUGACCAUAAAAAUGGGGAAUUUGCGAGCAGAGUUCUGCGGGGCGACCACUCCUAACGAGCAGCUUUUCUGGGACAGCGGGAGACGACAACAAAGCUGCCUUUAGGACUACACCCCCAAGUCCUGUUUAUGUGAAGAUAUUCAGAGCACUGGUGUACUGAGCGCGAGGAGAAUAAUGCUCAAAAGUUUUAUAACGUGAGGCAUAAACUGGGUUUUCAUGUUUAUUUUGUGAAAGCGUCUGCUAAAACUUAACGCCACCCCUGGUCUCUGCCUGUCUUCCAUUCCCCCAGUCUCCUCCUCAUUCUGCUCUUAUUACUCAAAAAAGUGCCUCCCAAACUCCGAAAAGGAAAUGCUGACCUGUGGACAGAUGAGAAAGACAGGAGGAGAGCCUGGAAGGAGGCGAGAGGGAGGACGCCGUGAGCACGCGCCCCGUUACCUGUGUCCGAAGAAGAGAAGGUCUUACUGACAGGAGCCCCGUGGCAGGAGAUGGCUUGGACAGAGAUGUCCUUCUCGAUCACCUUCACCUUGACGGGUGUCUUCAGGGGAGACUCUGCCAGGAGAAAAUCCAGAUCACAAUGGCCCCAAAAGCCAUCUGAACCUACAGUUCCCGGAAGGUGAAAUCACACCUCUCACGCAACCCCGUCCAUUUGGAUUUUUUUAACAGUCUCUCAUUUUGGGGGGGAGGGAGGUAGGGGAGGCGAGGACCCAAAAGAAUGCUGGGAACCUGGGUUUAAAUAAAAUUUCAGAAACAUUUUAAUUAAGCCAGAAUUUCACUUUGUUUUGUAUUGAAGAAC